UCAGUCGACUCCUACGGGGAGCAGCAGUGGGGAAUUUUGGACAAUGGGGGCAACCCUGAUCCAGCCAUGCCGCGUGAGUGAAGAAGGCCUUCGGGUUGUAAAGCUCUUUCGGCCGGGAAGAAAUCGCGCAGGCUAAUACCCUGUGUGGAUGACGGUACCGGAAUAAGAAGCACCGGCUAACUACGUGCCAGCAGCCGCGGUAAUACGUAGGGUGCGAGCGUUAAUCGGAAUUACUGGGCGUAAAGCGUGCGCAGGCGGUUUCGUAAGACAGAGGUGAAAUCCCCGGGCUCAACCUGGGAACUGCCUUUGUGACUGCGAGGCUAGAGUACGGCAGAGGGGGGUGGAAUUCCACGUGUAGCAGUGAAAUGCGUAGAGAUGUGGAGGAACACCGAUGGCGAAGGCAGCCCCCUGGGCCGAUACUGACGCUCAUGCACGAAAGCGUGGGUAGCAAACAGGAUUAGAUACCCUGGUAG
rnacentral:rRNA from 1 species